UUGAAGGAUUUGUAAGAAAUGUUUGAAGAAACUGACUCAUUGUUAAACACUAAAUCAGUUUCCUCAAACAUUUCUUACAAAUCCUUCAA